rnacentral:rRNA from 1 species
AAACCAGCACCUCAAGUGGUCAGGAUGAUUAUUGGGCCUAAAGCAUCCGUAGCCGGCUCUGUAAGUUUUCGGUUAAAUCUGUACGCUCAACGUACAGGCUGCUGGGAAUACUGCAGAGCUAGGGAGUGGGAGAAGUAGACGGUACUCGGGAGGAAGUGGUAAAAUGCUUUGAUCUCUCGAUGACCACCUGUGGCGAAGGCGGUCUACCAGAACACGUCCGACGGUGAGGGAUGAAAGCUGGGGGAGCAAACCGGAUUAGAAACCCGAGUAGUCC